GCCUACGGGGGGCAGCAGUAGGGAAUUUUCGUCAAUGGGCGCAAGCCUGAACGAGCAAUGCCGCGUGAACGAGGAGGGUCUUCGGAUCGUAAAGUUCUGUUGAAGGGGAAAAAGAGCGGAGAGAGGAAAUGGUCUCCGAUUGAUAUUACCCUUCGAGGAAGUCACGGCUAACUACGUGCCAGCAGCCGCGGUAAUACGUAGGUGGCGAGCGUUAUCCGGAAUGAUUGGGCGUAAAGCGAGUGCAGGCGGUUCAAUAAGUCUGAU
rnacentral:rRNA from 1 species